UACACUUCCGGCGCGCAGCGGGCGGCCAUGUUGGAGCAGCGGAGGCGGCGCAGAGGCGCGUCUUGGGUCCCCGCGGCGGCGCCGUUUCUCCUGCCUCCCCCGGGGGCACGUGUGAAGGGAAGUCGAGGGCCGGGCAGCAGCCUCUGUUUCCGAAGCUUCUCGAAAGCCCAGAAAACCCCUCCCAAGAGCCCGGCCUAACCUGCGUGGAAGAUCCCCCAGGUCACCCCAAAUAUUUGCGUCGGGGCGCGGGUGCCAAGCGCUGAUUUGUGGAUACCCAGGCA
rnacentral:lncRNA from 1 species